rnacentral:rRNA from 1 species
AACCCUCGCUGUGUGUUAUAUGUGUCACACGGGACUGCCGGUCGUUAAGCCGGAGGAAGGUGGGGAUGAUGUCAAGUCAGCAUGGCCUUUAUAUCCUGGGCUACACACACGCUACAAUGGCCAACACAAUAGGUUGCUAAGCCGCGAGGUGGCGCCAAUCCAUAAAGUUGGUCUCAGUUCAGAUUGUAGGCUGCAACCCGCCUGCAUGAAGAUGGAGUUGCUAGUAACCGCAGGUCAGCUAUACUGCGGUGAAUACGUUCCCGGGGCUU